UAACACGUGGGGAACCUGCCCCAUAGUCUGGGAUACCACUUGGAAACAGGUGCUAAUACCGGAUAAGAAAGCAGAUCGCAUGAUCAGCUUUUAAAAGGCGGCGUAAGCUGUCGCUAUGGGAUGGCCCCGCGGUGCAUUAGCUAGUUGGUAAGGUAAAGGCUUACCAAGGCGAUGAUGCAUAGCCGAGUUGAGAGACUGAUCGGCCACAUUGGGACUGAGACACGGCCCAAACUCCUACGGGAGGCAGCAGAA
rnacentral:rRNA from 1 species